rnacentral:rRNA from 1 species
UAAGGAAUAUUGGACAAUGGGGGCAACACUGAUCCAGCCAUGCCGCGUGAAGGAUGAAGGCCCUAUGGGUUGUAAACUUCUUUUGAACGAAAGAAACCCCGGGUACGUGUACCCAGUUGAUAGUACCGUUAGAAUAAGGGACGGCUAACUUCGUGCCAGCAGCCGCGGUAAUACGAAGGUCCCAAGCGUUAUCCGGAUUCAUUGGGUUUAAAGGGUGCGUAGGUGGAAUGAUAAGUCAGUGGUGAAAUCUUGCAGCUUAACUGUAAAACUGCCAUUGAUACUGUCGUUCUUGAGUGUAGUUGAUGUGGGCGGAAUAUGUCAUGUAGUGGUGAAAUACUUAGAUAUGACAUAGAACACCGAUUGCGAAGGCAGCUCACAAAACUAUAACUGACACUGAGGCACGAAAGCGUGGGGAUCAAACAGGAUUAGAUACCCCCGUAGUCC